AAAGACGCGCAUUUGUUAUCAUCAUCCCUGAAUUCAGAGAUGAAAUUUUGGCCACUCACGAGUGGCCUUUUUCUUUUC
rnacentral:antisense_RNA from 1 species